GCGGGCGUGGCGGAAUGGCAGACGCACCAGACUUAGGAUCUGGCGGGUAACUCCGUGGAGGUUCAAGUCCUCUCGCCCGCACCA
rnacentral:tRNA from 1 species